rnacentral:rRNA from 1 species
GACGAACGCUGGCGGCGUGCUUAACACAUGCAAGUCGAGCGGAAAGGCCCUGCUUGCAGGGUACUCGAGUGGCGAACGGGUGAGUAACACGUGGGUGAUCUGCCCUGCACUUCGGGAUAAGCCUGGGAAACUGGGUCUAAUACCGGAUAGGAGCCAUUUUUAGUGUGAUGGUUGGAAAGUUUUUUUCGGUGUAGGAUGAGCUCGCGGCCUAUCAGCUUGUUGGUGGGGUAAUGGCCUACCAAGGCGGCGACGGGUGGCCGGCCUGAGAGGGUGGACGGCCACAUUGGGACUGAGAUACGGCCCAGACUCCUACGGGAGGCAGCAGUGGGGAAUAUUGCACAAUGGGCGCAAGCCUGAUGCAGCGACGCCGCGUGGGGGAUGACGGCCUUCGGGUUGUAAACUCCUUUCGCUAGGGACGAAGCUUUUUGUGACGGUACCUAGAUAAGAAGCACCGGCUAACUACGUG